UGUAUUUUUCAUCUUUAAAAAGGUUAUUGACAUCCCAAUAUUUAGUGGGAAGCUUCCAGGUAUCUUCCACUAGUGACAGUCUACUGGUAAAUCCAGACAUGCAUUGGAAGUAUGUUGAUGUGGAGGACACAGGGACACCUGAUCCAAGAACUGUGGCAUUUCAUUCGGAGUGACAACCUGGCAUUCAGUUGAUAUGGGACCUGAUUAUUCAGAGAAUUGCAGAUUUUAUGAAGCUGUUUUUGACAGAAGAUUUGGUUUUCUCCAUUUGUGUUGCCAUUAACCAUUAUGCUGUGAUGGUCAUAUCUAGGGGGAAGGAUUGUCAUAUGCUUCCCGAGGAAGUUCGAAGCUUCUCACUGAAGAGGAACUGUACAGAUUGUUGGGCAUUAUCUUAUACAUGUCUGCUGAGAAGUUCUAGUCGAUAGACAGAUAUUGGUCAACGCAUGCCCCUAUCCGAAC